GAUGAAGAACGCAGCGAAAUGCGAUAAGUAAUGUGAAUUGCAGAAUUCAGUGAAUCAUCGAAUCUUUGAACGCAUCUUGCGCUCCUUGGUAUUCUGAGGAGCAUGCCUGUUUGAGUGUCAUUAAAUUCUCAACUACACUGACUUUGAAUUGGUGUGGCUUGGAUUUGGGGGGAAAAUUGUUGUGGGCUUUUUGUAUAGUCUGCUCCCCUGAAAUUGAUUAGCGGUACCUUUGUGGAACUGUCUACAGGUGUGAUAAUUAUCUACAUCUUAGACAUCUGCUGGAAUGCUGCUUUCUAAACCUUACUUGUAUUGACAAUCUUGACCUCAAAUCAGGUAGGACUACCCGCUGAACUUAAGCAUACAAUAAGCGGAGGA
rnacentral:misc_RNA from 1 species